CCGAGUUGUCGACAUGAGUUGUUGCUGGUCCUCAAACGGGGGCAUGUGCACGCUCUGUUCACACAUCCACUCACACCUGUGCACCCUGUGUAGUUCUAUGGUCUGGGGGACAACACUGUCUUCCUCCCGUAGUCCUGCGUUUUUACACCUACGCUGUAGUAGAAAAGUCUUAUGGAAUGUGUGCCGCGUUUAACGCAAUGUAAUA
rnacentral:misc_RNA from 1 species